rnacentral:rRNA from 1 species
CCAAUAGCGUAUAUUAAAGUUGUUGCAGUUAAAAAGCUCGUAGUUGAACUUCGGAAUUUGCCCAUUGGUCAGGCUUAACUGUCUGAACUGGUGUGACGAGUUCCUACCUUCUGAGGAAUCUUCAUGCCAUUCAGUUGGUGUGGGGGGAAAUCAGGACUGUUACUUUGAAAAAAUUAGAGUGUUUAAAGCAGGCAUCCGUCUGAAUACAUUAGCAUGGAAUAAUAAAAUAGGACGGUUUGGUUCUAUUUUGUUGGUUUCUAGGAUCACCGUAAUGAUUAAUAGGGAUAGUUGGGGGCAUUAGUAUUCAAUUGUCAGAGGUGAAAUUCUUGGAUUUAUUGAAGACUAACUACUGCGAAAGCAUUUGCCAAGGAUGUGUUCAUUAAUCAAGAACGAAAGUUAGGGGAUCGAAGACGAUCAGAUACCGUCGUAGUCUUAACCAUAAACUAUGCCGACUAGGGAUCGGACGAAGUUAAUUUUUAAAUGACUCGUUCGGCACCUUACG